UACAGAGGGGGCCAGCGUUAUUCGGAAUUACUGGGCGUAAAGCGCGCGUAGGCGGCUUUUCAAGUCGAUUGUGAAAUCCCCGGGCUUAACCUGGGAACUGCAGUCGAGACUGUCUAGCUAGAGUAUGGGAGAGGGAAGUGGAAUUUCAGGUGUAGCGGUGAAAUGCGUAGAUAUCUGAAGGAACAUCAGUGGCGAAAGCGACUUCCUGGACCAAUACUGACGCUCAUGUGCGAAAGCGUGGGGAGCAAACAGG
rnacentral:rRNA from 1 species